AUUCAAUGAAGAUAUUCUAAGAUUAUCAUUCAGAUAUUCCUCUAGGAAAUAAACGUUCAAGCAGAUAUGUACAUGGUGGUGAUGUUGUGAACGCACAAUUGAUGCACUUCUGGAUCUUUGAUCAACUAAUUUAGGAAGGACGCGGUAAGCUGUGAAAGUAAUGGCAGGGAUGGAAGAGAAAGGAAGAAAGGAAGAAACUAGUAUCUUUUGAAAGUUUCUUGUACCCAGAAAAGUGUUGCGACAGGAAGAAUGCCAAGACCCUCUGUUCCUGAGCACAGGCAUGGGAGCUCUUUACAGCCGUUGACCUCAAAUGUGUCACCAUGGCUCACCAGUUAAAAUCAGUUGUCAUGUGAAUCACAAAUCAUAUUCUAUAACUAAAAACAAAGUACCGUUUGUUAAUAAUUGUUUAAACAAACUGUUUAUUGAUGUAUAAUAUACACAAAAAUGUGUACAAACAAAAAAGGUGUACAGCAUGAUGAUUUUCCAAAACAAACACACCCACGCAACCAAUAUCCAAGUCAAGAAAUGAAACAUUAUCAAAACUCUCACUAUGCCUCCUCUCAAUUACUAUUUUCCUCUUGGUAACCAGUUUCUUGAUUUCUAACACUGUGGAUUGAUUGUCUUUAAACUUUAUACAAAUGAAACCAUAUGAAAUGUACUAUUUUGUGUCUGCCUUUUUU
rnacentral:lncRNA from 10 species